AUUGAACGCUGGCGGCAGGCCUAACACAUGCAAGUCGAACGAGUGGCGGACGGGUGAGUAAUGUCUGGGAAACUGCCCGAUGGAGGGGGAGAACUACUGGAAACGGUAGCUAAUACCGCAUACCAUCGGAUGUGCCCAGAUGGGAUUAGCUAGGAGGUGGGGGAACGGCUCACCUGGGCGACGAUCCCUAGCUGGCCUGAGAGGAUGUCCCUCCCGACUGGAACUGAGACACGGUCCAGACUCCUACGGGUGGCCGCGGGGGGAAAUAUUGCACAAUGGGCGCAAGCCUGAUGCAGCCAUGCCGCGUGUAUGAAGAAGGCCUUCGGGUUGUAAAGUACUUUCAGCGAGGAGGCGUUACUCGCAGAAGAAGCACCGGCUAACUCCGUGCCAGCCGCCGCGGUAAUUC
rnacentral:rRNA from 1 species